GGAGGGGGAGUUGGGCAGGGAAAUAUUUGAUAUCACAACUUUGACAUUAUUUAAGGGAUGGCGACGUGAGUUCCUGACCAUUUCCUGACAUCGCUAAUCUCAGCCUGUCGCAUCUCCAGCCUUCUCUUUUCGAAUAUUUUCGAAUCCAGCAAAGACUCAGAGUUUUAAGGGAUCAAUCCAUCGGCAACAACAAGAUGGCGCUUUCCAAGUUGACUCUCGUUUUCAUGAUGUUUUCCAUGUGCAUCAUGCUAAGCCAGGUGAUGGUCGAGGCAAAAAGCGUUCAUGUAUAUGUCGACGACGUUGAACUGGUGGAUAGAGAAAACGAUGUUCGAAACGAUGUCCAUGGCGUAUUGGCCCGUAACAAACGAUCAUCAAGCUCUUCAUCAAGCUCUUCAUCAAGUUCUUCUUCAAGUUCAUCAUCAGAGUCUGAUGAAACCACAACAGCAGCAACAACCACAACAGCAGCAACAACACCAACAACAGCAGCAACAACACCAACAACAGCAGCAACAACAACAGCAGCAGCAACAACAUAGUAGAUAUGAACAAGGAUCUUGUCGGCCCGCAGACCUUAUUUACCAUAAGGAAUAUCGUAGUCGGAACACCAUUGACGUUAUCGUUAUCAUCCAAGACACGAACUUGAUUACGUUCAGUGUGACUUAAAUGCAUCAUCUAACAUCGGUAGCUUAUCAUGCGUAUGGAUAUGAAAUUAAAUAACUUCAUCUAUAUAAGUCUAUACUUCAUUUUUUUAAAUCCCCUUACUUAAUUAUCAUGAUAUGAUUAAUCAUUAUAAUAGUUUUACGGAAGAUUGCAUACGUUUUUGUAUCGUUUUGUUCGAAAGUGCUUUUAGUGGCCAAUACUUGUACGUAUUUACAGUUUUCCUGCAUGUAGGUGAAUCGAUUCAUGUAUUUGAUAAUUGCGCCAGAGUAAUAAAGUUAUGUUAAAUCGCGGGGGGGGGGGGGUAUUUCACUUAUCUGAAAUUUAGCAAAUACUUUAAACAUGUAAAUCCAAUCACCAAGGUUGUACAACUCCUUGUUCUUGAGAAGAUUAACUGCAUAUCAAAAUCAUAAAAGCGAGUAAUACCGUAUUAUUGCCAUAAAUUCACACUCAUUGGGUAUUGUGAUAUAAAUUUAUUUGUAUAGUGUGAUGAAUUAAAUGAUAGGAAUGAAGAUAUUCAGUCAUUGAACUAUAUGCACUAUAAGGGAAAACCCCUUUUCAUCUUUAAAAAACGAAACCCAAAUCAUGACUAGGGGCACAUUCAAAAGAUGCCCUAAUUAUGCGCUACUAUAGUUCCUAAGUGUAAUUUCUAGACUUUGAAAGAUUUACCCUAGAAAACUAGAAUUGGGGAUGAACAAACACCCCCCCCCCAAAAAAAAAAAAAAAACGACUCUAACAUACACUAAUCUUCCUCCUCCUCAUUUUUGGCGCACCACCCCCCCCCCCCUCCAAAGAAAAAAUCCUACGGUUCCACAGUAAUAUCUAAUGAUUAACUUGUGAAGCGAUAAGAUACUUUAGCUGUUCUUAUUUCAUCUUAUUGAAAAUUUAGGUCAUGUUUAAUAAGGCAUUAAUUAAGUUUCCAUUGUUAAGUAUUGUAUCAGUCACGAAGGUUAAAAAAAUCAUAUUUAGUUCAUUAAAACAGAGCAUUGCAUA